UGUGACACAGAUAGCUGAUAGCACAGCCUCCUUCAUUGUGAACACUUGGAUUUUUUUUUUCCCCAAAGGUCAGCAGUACCAACGUGGAUUUGCAUGUAGGUGUCUGCAUCAAAUGAAAUAUGUAUACAAUUCUCAAGCAUAUAUUAUGCCUGGAGUGAAUGCAGUGAUUGCUGUGAAUUAUUUUGCAAAUGAUUAAAAAUUUAGCCCAAAACUUCACAGCCUGAAAGUAGGAUCAGCCCCUGGGACAUUAAAAAAAAAAAAAAAA